rnacentral:lncRNA from 10 species
CCAUUUCUUCCCACCUUCUACUCCCAGCGAAAAAUGGAGCCCGGCAUUACCCUCCCCACUUUGCUUGCUAAGCUGCAGUGCAGAAGGCACCACUACUGCGCCCCCCAGCAUGCUUUUUGGAGAGGACUGGAGCACACUGGGACGUUCAUGUGAGAAUCUGCAUGUGCCCCUUUCUGGAAUUUGAGGGAAGUACAUGGACGCAGCCUGCGUCUUGCUCCUACAUUUCCUUAGACAUGUCUGAAAGCCAGAGAGUGGCUGGCUGGAGCAGUUGGUCCCAUCGGGGAAAAGAAGGAACAUGCACAGCAUGAGGGGAAUGGGAGAGAAAGAAGUGACUGCACAAUGCUGCUGUUUCUGUGGCUCCAUGUGACACAAUACACAGGUGGGAGGAUGAGGUGGACAUAGUAGGGAUGCCCAGGCAAUAGCCCGAGCAGUGGAUGCCCCAUCUGGAGAGAGGAAGUCAGGGAAGAGGACUGCCUUCAGGAGACAAAGGAGAUACAGCUAUGUGUCUCUAAGAAUCCUCAUGGAUGAUGGCCAUGCGCAGUGGCUCACGCCUGUAGUCCCCAGCACUUUGGGAAGCUGAGGCGGGUGAAUCACCUGAGGUCAGGAGUUUGAGACAAGCCUGGCCAACAUAGCGAAACCUUGUCUCUACUAAAAAUGCAAAAAUUAACUGGGCAGCCAUGGUGGUGCAUGCCUGU